GACAAACGCUGGCGGGGUGCGUGAGACAUGCAAGUCGAACGAGGAACCUCCGAGCUUGCUUGGAGGUUUCCUAGUGGCGGACGGCUGAGUAACGCGUAGGUGACCUACCCGGAAGUGGGAAUAACUGCCCGAAAGGGUGGCUAAUACCGCAUGUGAUCGGCGAUUCGAUUCACCGAUUAAAGGAGCAAUUCGCUUCCGGAGGGCCUGCGUUCGAUUAGCUAGUUGGUGGGGUAACGGCUCACCAAGGCGACGAUCGAUAGCUGGUCUGAGAGGAUGAUCAGCCAGACUGGGACUGAGAACGGCCCAGGACCCCUACGGGAGGCAGCGAGUCGGGAAUUUUGCCCAAUGGACGAAAGUCUGAGGCAGCAACUCCGCGUGAGGGACGAAGGCUCUAGGGUCGUAAACCUCUUUUCU
rnacentral:rRNA from 1 species